UACGAAGGGGGCUAGCGUUGUUCGGAAUCACUGGGCGUAAAGCGCACGUAGGCGGCUUUUUAAGUCAGGGGUGAAGUCCUGGAGCUUAACUCCAGAACUGCCUUUGAUACUGAGGAGCUAGAGUCCGGAAGAGGUAAGUGGAACUGCGAGUGUAGAGGUGAAAUUCGUAGAUAUUCGCAAGAACACCAGUGGCGAAGGCGGCUUACUGGUCCGGUACUGACGCUGAGGAGCGAAAGCGUGGGGAGCGAACAGG
rnacentral:rRNA from 1 species